UACAGAGGGUGCGAGCGUUGUUCGGAAUUAUUGGGCGUAAAGGGCGCGUAGGCGGGUUCCCAAGUCGGUGGUGAAAUCUUUCGGCCCAACCGGGAAACAGCCGCCGAUACUGGGAGUCUUGAGGGAGGUAGGGGUCGAUGGAACUUCCGGUGGAGCGGUGAAAUGCGUAGAUAUCGGAAGGAACGCCGGUGGCGAAAGCGAUCGACUGGACCUUUUCUGACGCUGAGGCGCGAAAGCCAGGGGAGCAAACGGG
rnacentral:rRNA from 1 species